GACGAACGCUGGCGGCGUGCCUAACACAUGCAAGUCGAACGGACAGGCGCUGCUCUUGUGGCUUUCUCGUUUGGGGCAGGGGUGAGUAUAACGCGAGUAUCCUGUCCUUGUCUUUGGGAUAACUUUACGAAACUGGGGCUAAUAUAGGAUAGGAUCUCUUGCUGCACGGUGGGGGUUGGAAAAUUUCGGCGGUUGGGGAUGGACUCGCGGGUUAUCAGCUGGAUGGGCGGGUUGGUGCUUUCCAAGGCUUCGACGGGUAGCAGGCCUGAGCAGGUUACCGGCCACAUGGGGACUGAGAUACGGCCCAGACUCCAACGGGAGGCAGCAGUGGGGAAUAUUGCACAAUAGGCGCAAGCCUGUUGCAGCAACGCCGCGUGCGGGAUGACGGCCUUCGAGUUGUAAACCGCUUUCGCCGGUGACGAAGCGUGAGUGACGGUAAUGGGUAAAGAAGCACCGGCUAACUACGUG
rnacentral:rRNA from 1 species